AAUGGACGCAAGUCUGAUCCAGCCACGCCGCGUGGUGGAUGACGGCCUCUGGGUUGUAAACACCUUUUAUGUGGGGAUAAUGUGGUUCUAUAUGGGCCAUUGCAGGUACCACAUGAAUAAGCACCGGCUAACUACGUGCCAGCAGCCGCGGUAAUACGUAGGGUGCAAGCGUUGUCCGGAUUUAUUGGGUUUAAAGGGUGCGCAGGCGGCUUAUUAAGUUAGUGGUGAAAUCACCCGGCUCAACCGGGUACCCGCCAUUGAUACUGGUAAGCUUGAGUAUGUUCGAGGAGAUUGGAACGUGUAGUGUAGCGGUGAAAUGCAUAGAUAUUACGCAGAACACCAAUUGCGAAGGCAGAUCUCUGGGACAUAACUGACGCUGAGGCACGAAAGCGUGGGGAGCGAACAGGAUU
rnacentral:rRNA from 1 species